AAAGAUGAAGUUUCUCUCUCUUCUCUCCAUCUCCGAUUCUCCGUAUUUUCAUGAUAUCAGAGCAUGGUUUUUCUUCUCGGACGUCUCCUCUCUGUUCUUAGUCCUUCUGAUCUAGCAUUAUUGAGUUAUUAGCGGUAAUUCUGGAUUUUUUUUGCAAUUUGUUGGUGGAAUCGGAGAUGUUUUCAGUUUUCUCAUAUGGAUUGUUGUUGCUUUCUCAAGCGCGGUGUUUAGGGUAAACUUCAGACACCUUUCGCGGUUGAUUCCGACAGAUUCAGAAGCGUUGUAUUUGCACUAAAUAAAGCUAGGGUUUUCUCUGAACUUUUGAAGGCCAUUCUUCUCCGGUAGCGUAGAAGUCGGGUAACCUUAUUCUCACUUUCGUUAAGAGCUUGCAUGCGUUUUUGGUGGAAAAUCUGAUGUAUCGAGUAGUUCACAUAUAUUGAAUCAAUUUCUUUACAUCACUGUUGUUUUGUUUCUGAUGACAAAUAUGAAUCCUAAUAAUGUUUCACCCAUUGACCCUACAAGCCCUUUCUUUGUUUACUGUUCUGAUAUUCCUGGUGUUUCACUUGUUCCUACUCCCUUUUCUGGUAGUGGUUAUGGGGGUUGGAAGAGGAAGAUGAUAGUCGCCUUGUCUGCUAAGAAUAAAAUUGGUCUUGUUGAUGGUACCUGUCCCCGACCAGAUACUAACCUGGCUGAACAAAAAUUAUGGGACAGAUGCAAUAAUAUGGUAAUCUCCUAGUUGACUGCAUCUUUAUCUCCUCAAAUAGCUGAG
rnacentral:lncRNA from 1 species